AGAGUUUGAUCCUGGCUCAGAACGAACGCUGGCGGCGUGCCUAAGACAUGCAAGUCGUGCGAGAAAGCUCCUUCGGGAGUGAGUACAGCGGCGCACGGGUGAGUAACGCGUGGGCAACCUGCCCUCGGGUCCGGGACAACCCGGGGAAACCUGGGCUAAUACCGGAUGAGACCACGGAGUCUCCGGACUCUGCGGAAAAAGAUGGCCUCUGCUUGCAAGCUAUCGCCUGGGGAUGGGCCCGCGUCCCAUUAGCUUGUUGGUGAGGUAACGGCUCACCAAGGCUCCGAUGGGUAGCUGGUCUGAGAGGAUGAUCAGCCACACUGGGACUGAGACACGGCCCAGACACCUACGGGUGGCUGC
rnacentral:rRNA from 1 species